rnacentral:ncRNA from 10 species
AUCGUUCAAUCUAAUUUUUAUUAGAUCGGAAGUAAGCAAAAGCUGAAGGAACGCGCA